rnacentral:rRNA from 1 species
AUUGAACGCUGGCGGCAGGCCUAACACAUGCAAGUCGAACGGUAACAGGAAACAGCUUGCUGUUUCGCUGACGAGUGGCGGACGGGUGAGUAAUGUCUGGGAAACUGCCUGAUGGAGGGGGAUAACUACUGGAAACGGUAGCUAAUACCGCAUAACGUCGCAAGACCAAAGAGGGGGACCUUCGGGCCUCUUGCCAUCGGAUGUGCCCAGAUGGGAUUAGCUAGUAGGUGGGGUAACGGCUCACCUAGGCGACGAUCCCUAGCUGGUCUGAGAGGAUGACCAGCCACACUGGAACUGAGACACGGUCCAGACUCCUACGGGAGGCAGCAGUGGGGAAUAUUGCACAAUGGGCGCAAGCCUGAUGCAGCCAUGCCGCGUGUAUGAAGAAGGCCUUCGGGUUGUAAAGUACUUUCAGCGGGGAGGAAGGGAGUAAAGUUAAUACCUUUACUCAUUGACGUUACCGCAGAAGAAGCACCGGCUAACUCCGUG